ensembl:lncRNA
GGAAGGGGAGGGAAGAAGGGAAGAAAAGGAUGGAGGGAAGAAGGGAGGAGAAAAGGAGGGAGGGAAGAAGGGAAGGGGAGGGAAGAAGGGAGGAGAAAAGGAGGGAGGGAAGGGGAGGGAAGAAGGGAGAAGUGGAAGGAGGGAAAGAUAAAAGGAGGAAUGGAAGGAGAGGGAACGAGGGAGGGAUAAAAUACAGGAAAUGGAAAGAUGUAUUGAGGGAAGUCAGGGAAGGACAGGAAGAAGGAAGGACAGUGUUUAAAAGGAGGGGUGAGACUUUGUCCCUCUACUCUUCCGGCAGGGUUCCGCUGAUGUCCUCUGGAGGCGGGGUGGACGAGAACAGAGGCUCCUCCUCUUCUGGAACGUUGUUUGUGUUCUCAGAAUUCCCACCAUUCCCUUCAUUAUCCCCAGCUCUGCUCCUCCGGCUCCCGGUCCUACUGAGGCUGACAUUCCCAAUGCUCCCCACGCGACGAGGACUGCUGCUGAAAGAUGACUCCCCUCCUCCUCGCCUGGGAAGGACGGGAAUGUCGGGGAAAUAAUGGAAUUAGAGGCAGAGGGAAGAGGCAGGAUAGAAGGCCGUAUUGGAGGAAGAGAAGAAAAAGUUAGAAUUUGGAGAGGGAAGAAGAAGAGAUGCCAGAAUCAGACAGAGAGGAAAUGAGUUCAGUUAGAGGUAUAGUUGGUUUCCAGAGCCAUGUAAGAAACAUAUGUGUCUGGAUGGUUAGACCUUAAACACUGUUGGAAGGUCUGGAAGAAAAGGCUGCUAUAGAAGAGGAGGGGUUAGAGGUGAAGACAGAGGAUGAAUGAGAGACCAAGGGUUAGCUAAAGGCUGAGGAGUUUAAGUUGAGGAAGAGAUUGAGGAAGAGUUUGAGGAAGAAUUUAAGGUAGAUUUUGAGGAAGGCUUUAAGGAAGAAUUUGAGGAAGUGUUUGAGGAAGAGUUUUUGAAGGAAGAUUUUGAGGAAGGGUUUGACGAAGAGUUUGAGAAAGUGUCAUCAGAAAAACUUAGUUGAAUUAGCUGCAGAGUUGCUGUAGAUUCCCAAGUCAAGUAAUGAUGUGAGUAUUAAGUUGAUUGCCGAAGUAAAGAUGACUCAGCGAGAGGCAGACAGAGAAGCGUUUGAGGGCAAGUUAAUAUCUAAAGGACCGGUUUGAAGAGGUGUCAGAGUCAGAGACAGAAGAGGAAGAGAGAGAACAUCAACAUCAUAAACGGUCUUGUUUUGGCUGGUCUUCAGCCAGGUGUAGUUAUACUGUCUGCUAUAUACAGGUCAGGUGUAGUUAUACUGUCUACUAUAUACAGGCCAGGUGUAGUUAUACUGUCUACUAUAUACAGGUCAGGUGUAGUGUUAUAUUGUCUACUAUAUACAGGUCAGGUGUAGUGUUAUA